AACAUCCCGUUCAGAGCGUGUCCGCCGCGUCUCACAGGGUGAGGUGGUUCCUUGAUGUAAGAGCUUCCUCCUGGACCUGUAAUGCUGAGCUCAGAUCUUCUGCCGCUCACAGUGAUGACUGUCCCUCUGGGCAAGAACAUGGGGCCUUUCCACGCAGCAGCAGAGCAGCCCAGGUGAUGGGCUCACUCCACCCCAUUUCCAGAGAAAGCUGCAUUUAGAGAGGAUGUGCUGCUCUCCUCCUAACUAAAUUCCGUGGACUGAAGGAGACUUUGCAGUGGAAUGCCUCGGGGAGCCCGGGCUCGCUCACCUCAGCCUGCUGUGCUCCCACCAGGGCGUGGCAGCCCAGCAUCAGGGAGCCGCUGGGGAAGGGCCAGUGCUGGGACGCCGAGUACCGGAGCGACUCCACCUCCAGCCCCACCUCCUCUGCCACCUCCCGCCGCACCGCCUCCUCCACGGUUUCACCUGCGAGCAACCGAAGGGACGUAAGGACGGCCCGGCCCCCGGGCAGCAAGGAAAACUGCUCAUUUCCCAGGGGUUCCAGCCCCUGUGCUGACCUGGAAACGCUCAUCAGCAGGAUGCUCCAUUAAACUCAUCAACUCAUCUCGUAAACACAGCUACCAGAGAAUUUUUUUGGCCCUGUCUACAUACAGGACACCUCAACAUCUCCCCUUUUAAGCCAUUUUCCCUCCUGUAACGAGAGGUCUGUAGUCUUCCUUCCGAGCCAGACUGCACUAACCACAAAAUGGACUAAAAAAGUAUCAGAGCUUCCAACCUGGGGAGUUUAAAACUUACGUUUACCAGCAGAGACUACAGCAACUGGAGGGACACCUUCCGCUAGACCAGGCUGCUCCAAGCCCCAUCCAGCCUGGCCUUGGGCACUUCCAGGGAUGGGGACACACAUCAGCUGCGCGUCCAUCCCUCUCCCUGAACAGGUGUUCCCACACCCUGCAAGCCCAAGGCCACUGCCCUGCCUCGGGGCCCACCUUACCCAGGUCACAGAAGCCCGAGAGCGCCGUGAACAUGCCCGGGGGGAAGGAGGGCUGGCGGGCCAGGAGGCAGCGGCUGCCGUUGGACACCAGGGUGAUGACCACUGGAGACACCUGCCAAGGGCAGCAGAGAGCAAAGCCACUUCACACCCAACAAGUCCCCAGAAGAAGUGAAUCCCAGAGACUCUCCUGAUGCUAGAAGAGCAAACAAAAGGAGCAGGCAAAGAGGACACAAGCAGCAAGGAAUGCUUGCCAUCUCCUACAUGGACAAGAUUGCAAACCAGCUGCCCCCAAUAAGCAGAAAUAAGCAUCAGAAUUGCUAACAGCUGGCCCUUGUAAAACAACUGUUAAUUGCCCUAAAUACAUGAAAC